rnacentral:rRNA from 1 species
AGGAUUAACGCUGGCGGCGUGCCUAACACAUGCAAGUCGAACGAGGUAGCAAUACCUAGUGGCAGACGGGUGAGUAACGCGUGGUCAACCUACCGUUGAGUGGGGGAUAACUAGCCGAAAGGUUAGCUAAUACCGCAUACGAGUCUUGGGGGCAUCCCCGGGCCUUAAAAGGAGCAAUCCGCUCGAUGACGGGACCGCGUCCCAUUAGCUAGAUGGUGGGGUAACGGCCUACCAUGGCACCGAUGGGUAGCUGGUUUGAGAGAGCGACCAGCCACACUGGGACUGAAAAACGGCCCAGACUCCUACGGGAGGCAGCAGUGAGGAAUUUUCCGCAAUGGGCGAAAGCCUGACGGAGCGACGCCGCGUGUGGGAAGAAGGCCUUCGGGUCGUAAACCACUGUCGAAGGGGGACGAUAAUGACGGUACCCUUGGAGGAAGCCCCGGCUAACUACGCGCCAGCAGCCGC